GACGAACGCUGGCGGCGUGCUUAACACAUGCAAGUCGAACGGAAAGGCCCUGCUUUUGUGGGGUGCUCGAGUGGCGAACGGGUGAGUAACACGUGAGUAACCUGCCCUUGACUUUGGGAUAACUUCAGGAAACUGGGGCUAAUACCGGAUAGGAGCUCCUGCUGCAUGGUGGGGGUUGGAAAGUUUCGGCGGUUGGGGAUGGACUCGCGGCUUAUCAGCUUGUUGGUGGGGUAGUGGCUUACCAAGGCUUUGACGGGUAGCCGGCCUGAGAGGGUGACCGGCCCCGUUGGGCCUGGGCUACGGCCCAGCCUCCUCCGGGAGGCAGCAGUGGGGAAUAUUGCACAAUGGGAGGAAGCAUGAUGCAGCAAAGCCGCGUGCGGGAUGACGGCCUUCGGGUUGUAAACCGCUUUCGCCUGUGACGAAGCGUGAGUGACGGUAAUGGGUAAAGAAGCACCGGCUAACUACGUG
rnacentral:rRNA from 1 species